GUACUUUGAGAAAAAAACAAAGCAUAGAUUAGGAAAAACAAUGAAGACGAAUAAUAAAAAUGCCAUACUAUAGAAAGGGAAUUAAAGGGAGGGAGCGAUUAUUAAAGUCUCAAUUGCCCAAUGUAUGCUGCCAGUGGAAUGAGAAAAAAUACAGGAAGAGUGCUUCAACCGGUACUCUCGAAAACAACGCAGAAUAUAUCCCUCUAUUAUUCAGACAUUCUCAGGUUGUCCUAUUGACACCUCAUACCACAACAUACGUUGGGGGGAUAUACUGAUAUGUAAGAAUAAGAAAUCCUUCGGAUAUCCAAAAGACGACCUAGACCAUUUCGAGGAUAGCGAUAAUCCAAAUUAUGUGUAGGGCAUACGGUAGGAUAUCUGGAGAAUAUCCUGAUUUGAAAAAUAAGAUAUUCCCCUUACGGCUCGACA